rnacentral:rRNA from 1 species
CUCAGAACGAACGCUGGCGACGCGUCUUAAGCAUGCAAGUCGAACGGUAACACGGGGCAACCUGGUGACGAGUGGCGAACGGGUGAGUAACACGUAGGUGAACUGCCCUUGGGUUGGGGAUAGCUUGUGGAAACACAGGGUAAUACCGAAUGAGGUCAUCGGAUCAGGAUCUGAUGAUGAAAGGGGCUACGGCCUCGCCUGGGGAUGUGCCUGCGGCUGAUUAGCUAGUUGGUGAGGUAAAAGCUCACCAAGGCGACGAUCAGUAGCCGGCCUGAGAGGGUGGACGGCCACACUGGGACUGAGAUACGGCCCAGACUCCUACGGGAGGCAGCAGCUAAGAAUCUUCCGCAAUGGACGAAAGUCUGACGGAGCGACGUCGCGUGGGUGAUGAAGGCGGAAACGUUGUAAAGCCCUUUUAUAGACGAGGAAUAAGCUUUGGAGGGAAUGCCAGAGUGAUGACGGUAGUCUGUGAAUAAGCCCCGGCUAAUUACGUGCCAGCAGCCGCGGUAACACGUAUGGGGCGAGCGUUGUUCGGAAUUAUUGGGCGUAAAGGGUAUGCAGGCGGUUUGCCAAGUCUGGUGUGUAAGACCUCAGCUUAACUGGGGGAGCGCGCUGGAAACUGGCAGACUAGAGUACAGGAAGGGGAGUUGGAAUUCCAGGUGUAGGGGUGAAAUCUGUAGAUAUCUGGAAGAACAUCAGUGGCGAAGGCGAACUCCUGGCCAUGUACUGACGCUGAGAUACGAAAGCGUGGGGAGCAAACAGGAUUAGAUACCCUGGUAGUCCACGCCGUAAACGAUGUGCACUAGGUGUUGGGGUCUUCGAUCUCAGUGCCGUAGCUAACGCGUUAAGUGCACCGCCUGGGGAGUAUGCUCGCAAGAGUGAAACUCAAAU